UAACGCGUGAGGAACCUGCUUCAAAGAGGGGGACAAUAGUUGGAAACGACUGUUAAUACCGCAUAAGCCCACGGCUCGGCAUCGAGCAGAGGGAAAAGGAGCAAUCCGCUUUGAGAUGGCCUCGCGUCCGAUUAGCUAGUUGGUGAGGUAACGGCCCACCAAGGCGACGAUCGGUAGCCGGACUGAGAGGUUGAACGGCCACAUUGGGACUGAGACACGGCCCAGACUCCUACGGGAGGCAGCAGUGGGGAAUAUUGCACAAUGGGGGAAACCCUGAUGCAGCGACGCCGCGUGGAGGAAGAAGGUCUUCGGAUUGUAAACUCCUGUUGUUGAGGAAGAUAAUGACGGUACUCAACAAGGAAGUGACGGCUAACUACGUGCCAGCAGCCGCGGUAAAACGUAGGUCACAAGCGUUGUCCGGAAUUACUGGGUGUAAAGGGAGCGCAGGCGGGAGAACAAGUUGGAAGUGAAAUCCAUGGGCUCAACCCAUGAACUGCUUUCAAAACUGUUUUUCUUGAGUAGUGCAGAGGUAGGCGGAAUUCCCGGUGUAGCGGUGGAAUGCGUANAUAUCGGGAGGAACACCAGUGGCGAAGGCGGCCUACUGGGCACCAACUGACGCUGAUGCUCGAAAGUGUGGGUAGCAAACAGGAUUAGAUACCCUGGUAGUCCACACCGUAAACGAUGAUUACUAGGUGU
rnacentral:rRNA from 1 species